rnacentral:rRNA from 1 species
GACGAACGCUGGCGGCGUGCUUAACACAUGCAAGUCGAACGGGGUGUUUAUUUCGGUAAACACCAAGUGGCGAACGGGUGAGUAACGCGUAAGCAAUCUACCUUCAAGAUGGGGACAACACUUCGAAAGGGGUGCUAAUACCGAAUGAAUGUAAGAGUAUCGCAUGAGACACUUACUAAAGGAGGCCUCGGAAAAUGCUUCCGCUUGAAGAUGAGCUUGCGUCUGAUUAGCUAGUUGGUGAGGGUAAAGGCCCACCAAGGCGACGAUCAGUAGCCGGUCUGAGAGGAUGAACGGCCACAUUGGGACUGAGACACGGCCCAGACUCCUACGGGAGGCAGCAGUGGGGAAUCUUCCGCAAUGGGAGAAAGCCUGACGGAGCAACGCCGCGUGAACGAUGAAGGUCUUAGGAUCGUAAAGUUCUGUUGUUAGGGACGAAGGGUAAGAAUAAUAAUACGGUUUUUAUUUGACGGUACCUAACGAGGAAGCCACGGCUAACUACGUGCCAGCCGCCGCCGUAA